GAUGAACGCUGGCGGCGUGCUUAACACAUGCAAGUCGAACGGAAAGGCCUCUUUCGGGGGGUACUCGAGUGGCGAACGGGUGAGUAACACGUGAGUAACCUGCUCUUGACAUUGGGAUAACUUCAGGAAAAUGGGGCUAUUACAGGAAAGGAGCUCCUGAUUCAUGGAGGGGGGUGGUGAGUUUCGGCGGUUGGGGAUUGGCCUGUGGCUUAUUAGGUUGUUUGUGGGGUAGUGGCUUACAAAGGCUUUGGCGGGUAGCCGCCCUGAGAGGGUGACCGGCCACAUUGGGACUGAGAUACGGCCCGGACUCCUACGGAAGACAGCAGUGGGGAAUAUUGCACAAUGGGGGGAAGCCUGAUGCAGCAACGCCGUGUGCGGGAUGACGGCCUUCGGGUGGUAAACCGCAUUCACUCAUGACGAAGCUUUGUUGGAGGUAAGUUAAUAAAAAAGCACCGCCAAACUACUG
rnacentral:rRNA from 1 species